AUUGAACGCUGGCGGCAGGCCUAACACAUGCAAGUCGAGCGAGCGGCGGACGGGUGAGUAAUGUCUGGGAAACUGCCUGAAGGAGGGGGAUAACUACUGGAAACGGUAGCUAAUACCGCAUACCAUCAGAUGUGCCCAGAUGGGAUUAGCUAGUAGGUGGGGUAACGGCUCACCUAGGCGACGAUCCCUAGCUGUUCUGAGAGGAUGACCAGCCACCCUGGAACUGAGCCACUGUCCAGCCUCCUACGGGAGGCAGCAGUGGGGAAUAUUGCACAAUGGGCGCAAGCCUGAUGCAGCCAUGCCGCUUGUGUGAAGAAGGCCUUCGGCUUGUAAAUCGCUUUCAGCGGUGAUGCGUUACCCUCACAAGAAGCACCGGCUAACUCCGUGCCAGCCGCCGCGGUAAUAC
rnacentral:rRNA from 1 species